rnacentral:rRNA from 1 species
UACGAGGGGGGCGAGCGUUGUUCGGAAUUAUUGGGCGUAAAGGGUGCGUAGGCGGUUCGGUAAGUUUCGUGUGAAAUCUUCGGGCUCAACUCGAAGUCUGCACGAAGUACUGCCGGGCUUGAGUGUGGGAGAGGUGAGUGGAAUUUCCGGUGUAGCGGUGAAAUGCGUAGAUAUCGGAAGGAACACCUGUGGCGAAAGCGGCUCACUGGACCACAACUGACGCUGAGGCACGAAAGCGUGGGGAGCAAACAGG